GGUAGAGCUGCAGUUGAUAAACGUAUUGAUCACUACGUCUUUGGAUGUCCUUUUGUUAUGCACUGUCUUAGAUGGUAAAAUGAAAUCACAGGCCUUACAGUGGCCGCAUUUAAAAAGACCCUUGGUUUGUAGCCAUGUAGGGGUAGCUUGAGCUGGUUUGAAGUGGCUAUGUGUUAAGUGGUCCGCCAGGUUCUUGGCUCUUCGAAAUGUCAUAGAUGGUUCAGUGGAAAUGGUAUUUUUAAGACUAGUGUCAUAUUGAAGUACAGGCCAAUUCCUAUUCAAUACCUGAAGUGCCUGGUUCCAGUUCCUAUCAUAUGUGCCAAUAAACCUAGUUGUACCCUGGGUGGUGGAUGUAUUUUUAGGGGGUCUGUGUAGACUCUCUGAUCUAUCCACAGCCUUCGUUCUUUGAUAGGCUUUCUUUAAAAUCCUGUUGGGGUAGCCUAAGCUUUUGAAUCUUGAUCUUAAUUCUUUGGCUUCCUUCUCAAAGUCUUCCUGAUUCGAGCAAUUCCUUUUGGCUCUUAAAUAUUGGCCAUAUGGUAUAUUGGCCUUCACAUGAUGGGGAUGGAAGCUCUGCCAGUGGAGCAAGCUGUUGGUUGCCGUGGGUUUCCUGAAUAGGGAUGUGGUAACUUGCCCAUCAUCCAAGAUAUGAAUCAUUAGGUCCAGAAAAACCAAUUGGUUCUCAUGUAUGACAUGGGUCAGCUGUAGGUUAAUUUGAUUAUCGUUCAGGGUAUCCACCAUUUCCUUGAACAAUGGAAAAGAACCCAACCAGAAGAUUAGCACGUCAUCUAUAUAGCGAUACCACUUUAAUACAGAUGACGUGUAGAUUUCAUUAGGAGUGGUAAAGACCAUCGUUUCUUCCCACCACCCUAAAUACAAGUUUGCAUAGCUGGGUGCACACGACGAGCCCAUGGCAGUGCCCCUGAGUUGUAAAUAAUAUUUACCAUUGAAUGUAAAAUAGUUGUGAGUAAGUAUAUAU